rnacentral:ncRNA from 1 species
CAUUAGACGUUGAAGAGAAGAGUAGCGUUUAUGCGAAUUUGACAGAGAGCUUUGUUUGGUGAAAGAAGCAAUUUGCAGCGACGUGAAGAUGAGCUCUGAGUCUGACAUCCGGUUCAAAGGCUAGGGUGUCCGGUAGCGACCGAUACAUUGCGGGGUAUUCCAACUUAAAGGGAGUACCUGUCGAGGUUGUUAUUGUGAAAUGACAACAAAUCAGGGUGGCAUCACGAAGCUUUCGUCCCGUAG